UACGGGGGGGGCAAGCGUUGUUCGGAAUUACGGGGCGUAAAGGGCUCGUAGGCGGCCAACUAAGUCGGAUGUGAAAUCCCCAGGCUUAACCUGGGAACUGCAUCCGAUACUGGAUGGCUUGAAUCCGGGAGAGGGAUGCAGAAUUCCAGGUGUAGCGGUGAAAUGCGUAGAUAUCUGGAGGAAUACCGGUGGCGAAGGCGGCAUCCUGGACCGGCAUUGACGCUGAGGAGCGAAAGCUAGGGGAGCAAUCGGG
rnacentral:rRNA from 1 species